rnacentral:tRNA from 1 species
GCCCGGGUGGCGGAAUGGUAGACGCGGCAGACUUAAAAUCUGUUGAACUUAGGUUCGUGCGAGUUCGAGUCUCGCCCUGGGCA